rnacentral:lncRNA from 1 species
GGCUCUCUGCGACUCCGCCUCUCACAGAGUCACAAUCGGUCUUCCUCAGUCCUCACCUCUGCGGCUCUGCCUCUCAGCUCUCACAAGUCACAAUCGGUCUCUUGCGUCUCUGUCCCAGCCUCCCAAGUACACCAGGGUGGUCUUGAUUGGCGACUCCGGCGUCGGCAAGUCCAAUCUCCUCUCCAGCUGUCAAUGAUGUGCUGAAUGAGGUUCUCCCUUUCUUGACCAAACAUCCUGAGAGUCCUGCAAAGGUUCAGACUCCUAGCAGCCAACCAACUGCAGGGAAAAAAAUUUGAAGAUGGAGGAAUGGAGGAGCAGCUGCAUGGCAGCAAUAGCAUGGAGCAGCUGCAUGUCUUUUUAAACUGCUCUUGUUGUCUUGUUGAACAUUGUUUCGGUUUUUAAUUUGUUAUGUUGUUAAGACAAUAUGUGUUGGUGAACUUGCUGUGUAAUUGUGUUGGUUGCUUGCUUUGAAUGGUUAUUUGCAAGAUGGAUUUAUUUGCAACCUUGCUGCUACAUUGCAGCAAUGUUGCUGGUUCAUAG